GACGAACGCUGGCGGCGUGCCUAAUACAUGCAAGUAGAACGCUGAAGAGAGGAGCUUGCUCUUCUUGGAUGAGUUGCGAACGGGUGAGUAACGCGUAGGUAACCUGCCUUGUAGCGGGGGAUAACUAUUGGAAACGAUAGCUAAUACCGCAUAACAAUGGAUGACACAUGUCAUUUAUUUGAAAGGGGCAAUUGCUCCACUACAAGAUGGACCUGCGUUGUAUUAGCUAGUAGGUGAGGUAAUGGCUCACCUAGGCGACGAUACAUAGCCGACCUGGGAGGGUGAUCGGCCACCCUGGGACUGAGACACGGCCCAGACUCCUACGGGAGGCAGCAGUAGGGAAUCUUCGGCAAUGGGGGCAAACCUGACCGAGCAACGCCGCGUGAGUGAAGAAGGUUUUCGGAUCGUAAAGCUCUGUUGUAAGUCAAGAACGGGUGUGAGAGUGGAAAGUUCACACUGUGACGGUAGCUUACCAGAAAGGUACGGCUAACUACGUG
rnacentral:rRNA from 1 species